UGUGCCCUCAACGGCCGCGUGCACGUGCACCGUGAAUGGCAAUGCCGGCAUAGGCGUAAACAAUAUUUACAAUUUAUUUUUGGUCAAAUUUUUGGCAAUUUUUGUGUCUGUACCCCCCCGCCCAUCUUGUUUGUGUUCGCCUUUCAGCCAUGUUCGAACGCAACCACAAGACCAUAUUUGUGCUGGAUCAUACACGCUAUUUUAGCAUAUCGAGCGAACAGUAUAUUUCCCUUGAUUUUCUCAAGGGCAAGUUCCCCAGCGGUGCGGCGGAGGGGGCUGGUGGAGCCGGCGGAAGCGCGCUGAGGAGUGGAGAUGGUACCAUGUUCAGCAAAAGCUUAUGGACCUGUGCCGUCGAAUCGUCGAUAGAGUAUUGUCGCAUCGUGUGGGAUCUGUUUCCGGGCCACAAGCAUGUUCGAUUCAUUGUCAGUGACACGGCGGCCCACAUUGUGAAUACCUGGAGUGCCAGCACACAGAACAUGUCGCAUGUCCAAAACGCCAUGGUAAUGGUGGGUGUGCCGCCCAGGUCCUCUGUGCAGUCCUCUGAUUAUUCAGUCAUUCAUGGUCUGAGGGCUGCAAUUGAAGCAAUGGCUGAGCCAACGGAUGAGCAGCUGAAGGCCAUGGCCGAUGGCUGCCAGCAAAUCUCAAAUAAGGGGCGUGUAAUAUGCAUCACAUCAGCACGGGACAAUACGAGCAUGAAAAGCCUGGAGGACAUCUUCAAUACAGUAAUGAUUCAGCAGAAUGCUCUGGCGGCGCCGCCAGCGAAAAAGGGUUUGGUCAUCGAUCACUGUCAUCUGGUCAUCCUGAACAUUGUUCCACUGGGAAUUGAGUCGCUGGUCACUAAUCGCAAUCUUCUUGAUAUAUCCCCGCUGCUGGCUGUCGAGAUCCAUACGGUGGCAGCGCCUGAGAUUUCCAGCAAGCUAACGCAUCUAAUAAUGCGACACUAUGAUUUGGCUAGCACCACAGUUACCAAUAUACCGAUGAAGGAGGAACAGAAUGCAAAUUCAAGUGCGAACUAUGAUGUGGAGAUAUUGCAUGCUCGAUCCGCCCACACCGUCGUCUGUGGGAAGGAUGUGUCUGUGCUGCCGACGAGUAUUAAGGAGGGCGCCGCCUAUGAGACGGUCACACUGAAAUGGUGUACACCACGUGGCUGUGGUGCUUCCGAUUUGCAGCCGUGUCUGGGCCAAUAUCCGGUGACGCCCGUCGAUGUAACAUCGCGCCCUAGUUCCUGCCUAAUUAAUUUCCUGCUCAAUGGACGCUCAGUGCUGCUGGAAAUGCCAAGGAAGAGUGGCGGCAAAACCACCAGUCAUAUGUUGUCCGCGCGUGGCGGUGAAAUCUUCAUUCAUUCCCUGCAGAUCACACGCUCCUGUCUGGACGAGACGCCAUCCAUCGUCGAUGGACCUGGUGGACGAGUGCAAGAGUAUCGAUUCUCGGAAUUCGCUCAACACGUCAAAUUGUCGCGCCUGAUGCCCCUGAAAACAAAGUCAGUUCCGCCGGACAGCUUACGGCCGGAGCAUGAGCGUUUGUGUCGACGCUUACGAUACUUUCCACUCACCACAGGCACCAGCAUUCUGUAUCACUUGCAAAGACAGAUGACCUGGCUGCCCCAUUUUCUGCAUUUAAUUGUUAAGGAGGACAUGGAAAAGCCGGACGAGGUGCGCUGCCAGCAACACAUCUACGAGCUCUACACCAGCGCAUCGCGAGGCGACAUGCUGCCAUUCGCCCACACGAAUGGAGCGCGCUUAAAGGGCAAUAAGAUUAAGGAUCAGUAUCGUUUAUUCUACAGAGAGCUUGAAAUGCUCAUCCUAAUGACCGGUCAGACUCAGACGCCGCAUCACAAGAACCUGCUCGAGAGUUUGCAAAGUCUGCGCACUGCUUACGGUGAUAUUACGCCGAAAACGGAACCCGCACAUCUGCGCUCCUAUACGGAAUCCCCUCUUUCCCCAGAGCGUCUGGAACCCAACACCGUCAUCAGUAGUAGCAACUCCGUCAGUUUGCUGAAGGCCAGCAAGCGCCGCAUGUCGGGUUCGGGGCAACGCUCCCUGCUAGACAUAAUAUCAUCAGCUGAACGAAGUCAAUCCAGCAAAAGGCUAGACUUCUCUGGUCGCCUGUGCACGCCGCUGGGUCAGGUGGCCAAAUUAUAUCCCGACUUUGGCAAUAAAGAGAAGGACAGUCCCACUCCGGGCAGCACACCCGUUUCGAAAGAGGAACCCUUACGCAGUUAGGAUAGUGUUUAAAGUUUCUGGUUCCACUUAAAGACAUUUUAAAAAGUGUGCUGCGGCAAUAUUUGAAGUUUCUUUCUUUAAAUUAAGGCAUUUGAAUUUCUUUGCUUUUGUAUAAUGACAAUUUUAUGGUUAACUAAAAAUUUGAUCUAAAUUUCAACUUCUUCAACUCUUUUGUUAAGCGGCCAUCAUUUUAUCCAAAAUUUCUCGUUUCCCUUCCAAAAACCAUGGCUUUCAAUCCUACCGUUAGAAAGGUGCUUCAAAUAUCCGAGGAAGCGGCGCCGCCGGUGCAUUAAGAACCACUACCUUAUUGGUAGUUCCCCUAGUUGUGGGCAAAGCGAUGCUCAUAUUAACACAGCAG